rnacentral:rRNA from 1 species
CCCUUAGAUGUUCUGGGCCGCACGCGCGCUACACUGACGAAUGCAACGAGCUUAUAACCUUGGCCGAAAGGUCUGGGUAAUCUCCAAAUUUCGUCGUGAUGGGGAUAGAUUAUUGCAAUUAUUAAUCUUCAACGAGGAAUGCCUAGUAAGCGCAAGUCAUCAGCUUGCGUUGAUUACGUCCCUGCCCUUUGUACACACCGCCCGUCGCUCCUACCGAUUGAAUGGUCCGGUGAAGCGUUCGGACCGUGGCCUUUGGACGGUUCGCCGUCUGUUGGCUGCGGGAAGUUCGUUAAACCUUAUCAUUUAGAGGGAGGAGAAGUCGUAACA